rnacentral:rRNA from 1 species
AUUGAACGCUGGCGGCAGGCCUAACACAUGCAAGUCGAGCGAGCGGCGGACGGGUGAGUUAUGUCUGGGAAACCGCCUGAUGGGGGGGGAUAACUACUGGAAACGUUAGCUAAUACCGUAUACCAUCAGAUGUGCCCAGGUGGGAUUAGCUAGUAGGUGGGGUAAUGGCGCACCUAGGCGACGAUCCCUAGCUGGUCUGAGAGGAUGACCAGCCACACUGGAACUGAGACACGGUCCAGACUCCUACGGGAGGCAGCAGUGGUGAAUAUUGCACAAUGGGCGAAAGCCUGAUGCAGCCAUGCCGCGUGUAUGAAGAAGGCCUUCGGGUUGUAAAGCACUUUCAGCGAGGAGGCGUUACUCGCAGAAGAAGCACCGGCUAACUCCGUGCCAGCAGCCGCGGUAAUAC